rnacentral:lncRNA from 1 species
CUGGCAUAUUGCUUAUUAGAGGGACCAUGGGCUAUCAUUUUCUUUUCUUCUCUUUUUUUUAAGUGGAUAUCGAGGUAUCCCUAAUUCUACUGCCGGACACUUGUCCAUUUUUCAGCAAGGUUAUCGAGCACUUGCUCCUUUUUAUUUCCUCGAAAUAUCUUUAUUUUUGCAUAGCCCAUGCCUCUAAUGCAAUAAUACUUCGGAAGAGUGAAUCUUUCUGAAUAAAUGUCUUGAUCUUAGGAGCAUGAUAAAUCUCUCAACAAGGGUCUAACUCAUUUCGAACAAACUCAAUACAGAGUAGAUAGAUUUUAUAAUCAUAAUUAAUAUUUUCAGUUUUAUCAGGCAUAUAAAACACUGAGGAUGGUAGCUAGAAUUUUGAAGAUUUUGAAAUAAAUUCUCCAUGUAACAAUGAUAUCAAGAAUAAGAAACUCAUACUCUACUAUCUCACAUUCCACACUAACUUAAGCAGCACAGGGUU